GCCAGGCAUGGUGGCUCACGCCUGUAAUCCCAGCACUUUGGGAGGCUGAGGCGGGUGGAUCACCUGAGGUCAGGAGUUCCAGACCAGCCUGGCCAACAUGGUGAAACCCCGUCUCUA
rnacentral:SRP_RNA from 1 species